UACUAUCCUGAUCCAAUUCGUACAGAUGGGAGCUGUCGAGUCUCACUUCCAAGAGCACACAGACAUCUUUGACACUGCCAUUUCAAAGGGUCUCACUGGUGACUCUCUCGCCAGGAUUCCAAAGGUCCGAAUCACAGACACCUCUGACGACCGGGUCCCUUGCUCUGUCUGCCUUCAGGACUUUCAGGUGGGAGAGACGGUUAGAAGUUUGCCGCAGUGCCAUCAUAUGUUCCACCUACCAUGCAUCGACAAAUGGCUUCGCAGGCAUGCCUCUUGUCCCUUGUGCAGAAGACAUCUUUCUAUUGAAUGAAUCUCUCUUUUCUUUUUCUUUUUGUCUUCUCUUCUUUGUACAUGAUGUAUAGGAUCCCCCAUACACAUUACAUACACACAUUAGUCUAGUGUUCAUUGAUUAUUUUAGAUUACUCGUUACAGAGAUUCUGAUGCACCAAUCAUUGUAACUUCCUUCACUCAUCUCUUGGAGAUCCUGUUUAUUUAUCUUAUUCAUUCUUUGCUUUGGCUUCA